rnacentral:lncRNA from 1 species
GGCAAGGAAGGCCCAGCAUUUCUUGGCAUUAGUGAGCUUCCUUGAGGAGGCCCAAGCCCACAGAACUACCUCGCAGCAGAGGAGAGGGAUGGCCUGCAGCUGCACAGUAAAACCUAAUCAGCAUGAGUUAUGGCGGGAAGAUUUUACUGGGGCUCAGUCACAGCCCCUGUGGUCUAACCUCAGUGCUGAACUGCAGGCGUGCUGUUCACUGCUCAGGAAGGCAGCCCUGAAAGGUCUAGUUCAGGUUGGUGAUCAGGGAUGUAGCUUAGGGGUGGAGCACUUGCACGGCAGGCACAGGACCCCGGGUCCAGCCCUAGCCCAGUAAGGACAGGAAGUAAGUUACAUGCUUUUGUGUGAGAGGGAAUGAGUGCCCAGAAAUCAUUUCCUUCCCGGGGUUUUAUAGCUCAGUGGUGCAGCCCUUGCCCAGCAUGUCCCAAGGCCCUGGGUUCACUUUCCUUUUGCUAACCCCUGACUCGUGGUUUUUGUAGGAGUAUUAGCUUCAUGUUGGGAGGAAUAUGUGCAUAUGAGGAAUGUAUGUGUUCUGUCUGUAACUGUAAUUCCCUCUUGCCUAGCCUCAGUUCCGGGGCUGACUAGAUUGUCUUUUUCCAGCACAAUAUCCAGUUGAGUUCCAUAUUUGAUUAAUCUCUGGGCCAUUUUGAGUCUCAUAAGCUAGGUUUUUAAAGGGUUUUUCAGAGGUUUAAGUGAAAAACAGAUGUGCACUGGUAACUGGUUGAGGAUACCUGGCAUCUACUGGACUCGGAGGACACAGGAAGUAGAGGCAGGAAACUCUUGCAUUUAAAGUCAGCCUAUGUAUAUGGAGUCAGUCUCAUAUAUAGAGUGAGACUGUUUCAAAAGAAAGAAAAAA